GACGAACGCUGGCGGCGCGCUUAACACAUGCAAGUCGAACGGAAAGGCCCUGCUUUUGUGGGGUGCUCGAGUGGCGAACGGGUGAGUAACACGUGAGUAACCUGCCCUUGACUUUGGGAUAACUUCAGGAAACUGGGGCUAAUACCGGAUAGGAGCUCCUGCUGCAUGGUGGGGGUUGGAAAGUUUCGGCGGUUGGGGAUGGACUCGCGGCUUAUCAGCUUGUUGGUGGGGUAGUGGCUCACCAAGGCUUUGACGGGUAGCCGGCCCGAGAGGGUGACCGGCCACAUUGGGACUGAGAUACGGCCCCGACUCCUACGGGAGGCAGCAGUGGGGAAUAUUGCACAAUGGGCGGAAGCCUGAUGCAGCAACGCCGCGUGCGGGAUGACGGCCUUCGGGUUGUAAACCGCUUUCGCCUGUGACGAAGCGUGAGUGACGGUAAUGGGUAAAGAAGCACCGGCUAACUACGUG
rnacentral:rRNA from 1 species